rnacentral:rRNA from 1 species
UCUCUCUGAAUCUGCGUACGGCUCCGCAAACCAGUUGUAAACUACAGCAAGCAAGCACGGGGGGUUGGCCUUCACGGGUCGGUCCCUCGGGCGAUAUGGAUAACCCUGGUAAUUCUGAGGCUAAUACAAGAACGUAACCCCUGGCUGACUGAGCCCUCGCCCUCGGGUGGGGAUACUUGGGAGGCUGGGAAGCGUGCGAGUACUAAUGCGAAUGAGAACCGGGAAUGGGCGCACGCUUGGACCGCGCUACAAAGGAUCAUUACUCGGCAAUCCCUCCGGGGUGCGCUUUGUUUUGGCCCUAGCGGCUCUUGCGGUGUGCUUCUGACCUAUCAACUAGACGGCAGCGUAACGGACAUGCUAUGGUUACAACGGGUACAGAGGAUUAGGGUUCGAUCCUGGAGAGUGGGCCUGAGAGAUCUCC